AUUGAACGCUGGCGGCAUGCUUUACACAUGCAAGUCGAGCGGCAGCGCGGGCUUCGGCCUGGCGGCGAGUGGCGAACGGGUGAGUAAUGCAUCGGAACGUGCCCAGUAGUGGGGGAUAGCCCGGCGAAAGCCGGAUUAAUACCGCAUACGACCUGAGGGUGAAAGCGGGGGACCGAAAGGCCUCGCGCUAUUGGAGCGGCCGAUGUCGGAUUAGCUAGUUGGUGGGGUAAAGGCUUACCAAGGCGACGAUCCGUAGCUGGUCUGAGAGGACGACCAGCCACACUGGAACUGAGACACGGCCCAGACUCCUACGGGAGGCAGCAGUGGGGAAUGUUGGGCAAUGGGGGCAACCCUGAUCCAGCCAUGCCGCGUGCGGGAAGAAGGCCUUCGGGUUGUAAACCGCUUUUGUUCGGGAAGAAAUCCUCUGGGCUAAUACCCCGGGGGGAUGACGGUACCGGAAGAAUAAGCACCGGCUAACUACGUG
rnacentral:rRNA from 1 species